rnacentral:rRNA from 1 species
AUUGAACGCUGGCGGCAUGCCUUACACAUGCAAGUCGAACGGCAGCACGGGUGCUUGCACCUGGUGGCGAGUGGCGAACGGGUGAGUAAUACAUCGGAACGUACCUUAUCGUGGGGGAUAACGCAGCGAAAGUUGCGCUAAUACCGCAUACUCCCUGAGGGGGAAAGCGGGGGACCGUAAGGCCUCGCGCGAUUAGAGCGGCCGAAGUCUGAUUAGCUUGUUGGUGAGGUAAAAGCUCACCAAGGCGAUGAUCAGUAGCUGGUCUGAGAGGACGAUCAGCCACACUGGGACUGAGACACGGCCCAGACUCCUACGGGAGGCAGCAGUGGGGAAUUUUGGACAAUGGGGGCAACCCUGAUCCAGCAAUGCCGCGUGAGUGAAGAAGGCCUUCGGGUUGUAAAGCUCUUUUGUCAGGGAAGAAACAGCAGCUCUAACACAGUCUGCGAAUGACGGUACCUGAAGAAUAAGCACCGGCUAACUACGUGCCAGCAGCCGCCGUAA